rnacentral:rRNA from 1 species
UCUCACAAAUAACUUUCUUCUCCAGCAAACAUAUGAACAACUCUAUUAAAAUAGAGACUCCUAUGCUAAAACUAUUAAUAUGAGCAACCGCUCUACCUGCGCACUCGUCACUCAAACACACCGAUAAUUAACAGACCAAAAAAGGAUAAGUACAACCUAAUCAACAAGUCCUUUAGACACUGUGAAUCCAACUCAGGCGCGCAAUACGGUAAAAUUAAAAGUUACAAAAGGAACUCGGCAAACACAGAUUCCAACUGUUUACCAAAAACAUAGCCUUUAGCCAAACAAGUAUUGAAGGUAAUGCCUGCCCAGUGAAAUCACUUUCAACGGCCGCGGUACCCUAACCGUGCAAAGGUAGCGUAAUCA